CCUCAAGGCCUCGCCUCUUGAAGGACGGUGGGCGUGGCGCUCCAGCCUUAGCCCCGCCCCUUGAAGGUCUUAGGCCCCUCCUCUGGGCGGGCAGUGGGCGUGUCCUCUCCUCCCUGAGCCCCUCCUUCCGGCGGAGUUCCUCACAGACGCUGCGGUCUGGCGGGAAGGCGCGAGCAGCGGCGCGAAGGCAUUGCGGCUCUUGUUGCGGGGAAGAGGCCGCCGCGAUGCCGCUCGCACAGCUCGGAGCCGAGCCCUGGCCCGACGUGGAGCUGGUGGACAUGGAGCUGGACGCGGCCGAGAAUGGCCAAGCUGCUCCAGAAGAAAGAAAAGAUGCUCUGUCAAAGGUAAGACUCCAGAGGAAAGCCUUCUUCUGGAAAGGAGUGUUUGCCUUGCCUAUGCUGAAACUGAUCGUUCUAAAAAUAUGUGUGUAUGUAUGUAUUUUGGACUAGAGCUCCCAUCAUCCCUGGGAAACAUAGCAUGGGGAUUCUGGGAGUUGGAGUCACAGACAUUGGGGUUUGAGAUGCACCGAUUGACAGCACAACAGGGAAGAGCAGGAUUUGGGGAACAUCAAGGUUUGACAUAUUGGGGAGAAAUCACAAGGAAGCAUCUCUCUGCCCACCCAGGAAAUAAUCCUCCGUGGAUGGGAUUGUUGUGUGUGAGUGUCGUAGAAGUAGAGUGUCUUGUAGGAGAAGACUGAACGUUUUGUUGAGCUCCCAUUGAUGUGUACUAAGAACAUUUGCUCCUGCUUUCAUAGCACUUGUAUAUGACAUGAGAAUUUCAUAAUGACAAGAGGCAUGAGUUCUUCUGAGGAGAGUCAUGUUGGAUCGAAG
rnacentral:lncRNA from 11 species